AAAUAUUUCAAUGAUAUAGAAAUUCCAUGUAAUGGCUAGAAAUUUGUGAGACUACAUAUAUGUAUAAAGACACACACGCGCACGCACAGAGAGACACACAGACACACACAGACACACACCGACUGAACCACAAACACACACACUCACACACACACACACACACACACACACACACUUUGUCCUUGAUGUACUUGGAGCAGAAUUUCUCGCUCCUUUGAGAAAAAAAAUAAGAUUUGAUAAAUUGUACGUUGCUUCCAAUGGAUAGCUGCAACUCCGUUUCGAUGAAGCAUUUCGCCCGGAGUACUAACCUUCAUGUCAGCUCGCCGCCUUAGAAGUGCGAAUAUUCUGUUCUACUCUAGGCACAAGGCCCGAAAUUUGUGGGGAGGUGGCCAGUCGAUUAGAUGGACCCGAGUACGCUACUGGUAUUUGAUUUAUCGAUUCCGAAAUGAUGAAAGACAAAGUCGACCUCGACAGAAUUUGAACUCAGAACGUAAAGGCAGACGAAAUAUCGAUACAAAGCCCGAAAUUUUGUGGGAAGGUUCCAGUCGAUUAGAUCGACUAAAGUACUUAAUUUAUCGACCCCUAAAGGAUGAAAUGCAAAGUCGACUUCGAUGGAAUUUAAACUCAGAACUACUCCAAGGCAUACAAAAGGAACAACAUUUGACUCAACGGUCUCCAACACAGGCUUCGUGUCAACGUUAGAAGUAUGCAUUUAGGGCAACAAGUCAACAGAAUCAUUAAAUCGCUCUGUAUUUAUUUAUUUAAGAAUAGAUAUGGUCUGAGUUGAAAUUUAACCCAAAGUUACAUUUGCCUUUCAUUUUUACGUUGUCGAUGACAUAGGGUAGCAGUCAAGUAUCGGCUCCGAUGUAAUCGAUUAACCAUAUUUCAAGCAUUGUAGAUGAGGGGAUUCUGAAGAGGCCUCUGGCUUUAAGUGUAUGGCGAAAAGGUUCGGUUGGAGACGCAAACUUCCGAGUUCUUUUACAAGGUUUGGAAAACUGAAACACCGCUGCAAUAAGUGUGUGGAUCUGAAAAGGAGAAAAUGUUGAAUAAAAUCAUAAUUAACUUAUCCUCCUAUAUUUUCUUUUACCCAAAGCCAGAGACUUUUCAUCACCUCUUUGUACAGGCUAGAAAUUUAGUGCGGUGGCACACAAUGAUUACAGAUAACUUCUUAUGCUGUCCUUAUGUUGUGGUUUCAAAUCCCGCAGAUUUUGACUUAAUAUUUCAUUGUAUGAAAGUCAGUAGAAUAAAGUACAAGUCACGUACUGAGGUCACUAAUUUAAACUUCCCCCCUCUUAUCAAAAUUGCCGUCCUUGUACGAAAAGC